UGGAGUUGGGGAGGGAGACACCAUCUGGGUAUCCAGAACUGAAAGUCAGUAAUCUUGGACAAAUGUAGAAAGAAAAGGGGUGGGUGUUUAAACCAUGUAAAACCAUUAGCAACUACUGACAAUUGAGCAUUUACUGUUAAUUAGCUUUUUAGUUGUCAGAAAGCUAGCCUCAAAAGGUUUGGAAAAGCUGACAGCUAAACUUUGAGUCAGGCAGAGUAGGAAAGAAGGGACUUUAGAUGAGCAUUGGCUUUGGAGCUACAAGAUUACUUCCAAUUUGUGCUCUGAUCAGGAUUUUCUGGGCUACCAGAAGUUACUUCUCUCAUUGCACUUGAGCCAUGGAGAUGAAAUGGAAUGGGAAUAUGAUACCUGCUAAGCAGCAUAUGCUUCCAUCUCCUGACCCCCAAAGAAACUGCCCAGGUUCCUGAUUAGGGCUGGCCCUCGGGCUCUGCUCGGGUGUCUGACAUUGCAGUUGGGCUCUGUGGCAGGAAGGAUCACACAGAUGCGAGCCACAGGGAUGCUAGAGGGUCUAUUUUCAAGAGACUGGGCUGCGAGCAAGUCACAGACAAAACCAAAGAACACAACCCAUCGCCCUAGAGCACCACUUUUCAGCUCCUGAUGGGUUUGGCCUCUGUCCUCCCUGCUUUUGUGGAUUUCUGAUUGCCAAACCUGGUGUUGCUCUGUCUACCAGGAAAAUGAACUCAAUGAAGAGAGCCAAAGGAAGUUCAGGUGCUAUAAAGCAGGACACUCUAAAAAUGAAAGUUGUUUCUGUACUUGGUUCAGCUGAUAAGAGGGAAGUAAAUCCAUCAAACAAUAAAAUAUUGAAUGUUCU
rnacentral:lncRNA from 12 species